rnacentral:misc_RNA from 1 species
UGGUGAAAUUGACGAGACUAGAAAACCCCCAAGUCUUUAAAUUGGAACUAACAGUGUGAUUGUGUUUUGUGCGUUUUUCGGAAGAGUGGUGUAUCCAGUUAGAGGUUUUUGUGAGGAUCUUUCAAUAACUCUUGGAAACAGCAUGUCCAGAUGUUCUUUUAAGGAAUAAUUUGAGACUGGGCAACAAUGUGAGAGAAUGAUGUAGAAGAAAGUCUCCAAUCCAAUCGAUAUGAAUAGAGUUAUAAAUCCUGUUGCAGUAAACCAUGCCUUGGGACCAAAGGUGGUCCGGGGUAGAAGGGACUCAUCCCUCGACUCGGGAAUCCACCAUCCCCUCUCCGACACAUCCUCCUCCGAUCAAGACGAUCUCAGUGAAGCCGUCAACAAUGGGCUGUGUUUUGCCAACAGUGUUCGUCUGAGUCCUGUAGGCUGCAAUGAGACAGACAACCUGGUGGAAGAGGUCUACGUCUCACAACUCAAUACAAAAUCAACAGAGAAUGUUGAUGACGUGGAAAGCUUGAACACCAGCCACAAAAGCCUCUCAGACGACUCUCUAUCGGAAAAUGUGGCGAAAAAACCACCAUCUCGUGUCUACAUUGCACCGGAGAACCCUAUACCCCCACCAAUCAUUCACACAAACACACAAAACAACGAAGAACCCGUAAAAGAGGAAGCAGAUAGGAAGGAAGUGAAGGAGAAAGAGAGAGAGCCGAUCAUCGAGGAACCUGAAGGAAUUUUGGAAGAAGCGGAAAGCCUGGCUGAAAAUGAAGAUAUGGGAGAAAAGUUUGAAGCUAAAGUUGUGGUGGCUGUAGACUUGGGAACAACUUACAGUGGUUAUGCAUAUCGGUACAUUGAUCAUCCAUCAGAUGUUGACAUCCAUCUCAUGUCCAAUUGUCAAGGUGAGCCAGGAUUGAACAACCAGAAGUUACCCUCUAUUCUACUGUUGGACCCAUCUCGUAAGUUGCAUUCAUUCGGAUGCACUGCAAGGGACCACUUCCACGACCUCGACCCAGCCGAGGCACAUCUCUGGCUCUACUUCGACAAGUUCAAACUCACACUGCACAACAAUACGGAUGUAAGCAGAGAAUCUAUGAUCAGAGCGAGCAACGGGUGUGAGGUGAACGCUCUGACCGUAUUCAGCCAGGCACUCUACUACCUGAAGUCACAAGCUCUGGGCGAAUUGCAGCAUCAGGCUGACUCGAGCCACGUGCAGUGGGUCAUCACUGUACCGGCCAUAUGGAGUCACACGGCCAAGCAGUUUGUCAGGGAAGCUGCUUAUAUGGCCGGAAUGUUUGAGUCGCAUCAUCCAGAACAGCUUCUGAUAGCCCUGGAACCAGAGGCUGCUGCCAUCUGGUGUCGCAAUCUUAGAACUUCACUGAUCCAAGAUGACCAAUCAAACUGUGAUAACUGCAUUGACAAUCAAUGUGGAUUAUGCUACAUGGUUGUGGACUGCGGUGGAGGCACGGUUGACAUAACUGUUCACAGGGUUGACCAAGAUAACGGAUCAUUACAGGAGCUGCAUAAAGCCACUGGGGGUUCAUGCGGAUCUUUAGGGGUAGAUGAGGAGUUCAACAGAGUACUUGGCGGUAUUUUCGGGUUCGGAUUCAUGUCUCAGCUGCAGGUUGAGAGGCCGGCCGCUUACACAGAGCUCAUGCUGAGUUUUGAGUCCCGCAAACGAUCUGCUUCACCAUUGCGACAUUUGGCACUCAACAUUUCGCCACCUUACGCUUUCAUUGACUAUUUCAGGAAGGUCACUGGCAAAGAGGUUGAGACAGUGGUGCAAAACUAUGGGAAACCAGAAGUGAGUUGGUCCACCCAGGGUCAGCUACGUAUCCAUCCUUCACUCAUGACCGAAUUAUUCCGACCAACUAUCGAACGAGUCAUUCAGCAUAUUGAGAAAGUUCUAUCAAGUCCCCGAGUCCUGAACAAAAUCACCCAUCUGUACCUAGUCGGUGGUUUUGCAGAGUCACAGAUUCUGCAACAAUCGAUUCGAGACAAUUUCGCAAAAAGACUGAAAGUGAUUAUUCCUCAAGGAGUGGCUCUGAGCGUCCUGCGAGGAGCAGUUCUGUUUGGACUGAAUCCAACAACUGUGUCUGUGAGGCAGGCGAGGCACACAUAUGGAAUUGGCGUUCUGAGAAAGUUCAUAGAUGGGGUGCAUCCAGUCGAGAAACUAGUGGUAAAGGAUGGACAAGAGUGGUGUGUGGACGUUUUGGAUCCCCUAGUGGAGGCCAACCAGACGCUCCGUGUGGGGGAGAUGGUGAUGCGGCGAUACACGCCUGCCAACUGCAAGCAAUCUCAAAUCGUUCUCAACAUUUACUGCGCGCAGUCAGCCUCUGCAAAGUAUGUUACAGAUCACGGAGUGCGCAGAAUCGGGACUCUGAAGUUGGACCUUCGCCAAACGAAAACUUCCUCGAAACAGCCGCGCGAAAUUAUCGCACGACUGACUUUCGGAGGCACCGAAGUGACGGCAAGCGCCUACGACACCGCUUCCAAACAAUAUGUCGACACUGAUCUCUCUUUUCUCACUUAAGGGGUGUUUACACAUUAGUCAAGUUUACUUGAAUUCAAGUUUUGUAUAAAAUGAAUGUACUAUGCAAACCUGAAGUCAAGAACAGAAACUUGUAUCGGGUCGAUGUCAAACGAGGACACUGACAGUAGAGGACUCUUCUAAAAGCACAGAAGCGACAGUGAAGGACUCCGACAGUUGAGGACUGUGACCGUAGAGGACUGAAAAUCCGUCCUCAAAUGUCGCAGACCUCGACUGUCGUGUCCCCCUUGAAUCCACUAUACCAAUGUAGACCAUUAUUAAAGUUGAUUAAAGUAUAGGUGUUGAACUCAAACUUGAAUUCAAGUAAACUUGACCAAUGUAAACCCUACUUAAAUGUAAAAUUAAUCAGCUUUGUUUUUAAUCUGAGAGGAAUAAUUUGUUUUCCCUCAGUGAUUGCCAUACUUAGUUAUAAAAUAAUAAUAAAUAGUCUAUAUGUUUUAUUUUGA